CCUUGUUCAGUUUGGUCGUGGUGUUCAGAGAAUCAUCACAACCUGCUUGAAUGAGGAG
rnacentral:pre_miRNA from 2 species